UUUGGAUUAUGAAUAUGAAUAUGUAUUGAUAUAUGAAAUAAGACUUGACAUCAUAGAGCAAUCUUAGCUCAUGGCAAUGUUUUCUUCUGAAAACACCUGCCGAAAUUUGUAUUAUUUCUAGUUUCCAAAAAAAUCAGUCGCGACGGGGCAAAGGGGAUGUUUGAAUGUCAGAUACUGCAUGAGGCACAUUAGUGUACAGUAAUUUCCGCAUCAUUCAUAUUCAUAAUUCACAGUGAGGAAAUCUGAAAGUUGCUACAAGCUACUAAUAAAUGAAAGGUGGGGCGGGCUGCUGUGGGGACGGGGCCGCUGUGGGGGCGGGGCCUUGUGAGCCAGUGCUUGGACUCCCACAUCAUAAACGGAAGGGCGGUGCGUGGAGGGAACUGAAGGCCUGAUUGGUUCCUCCUGAGCAGGACACGAUCUGGUUGGCAGGGCAACCGGCCUUCAGUUAGUGCCUUCAGUGGGUGCCUUCAGUUGGUGGCAUUCGGUUGCCUUUCCUGAGGAGAGGAGGCAGGUGCUCAGCUCUGCAGGCGUGGGGACAAGGAAGGACCAAGCAGCCCGAGAAGAGCAGAGGUGCCCCAUGGGGACCACGCUGACUUGUCGCAUGUGCACCAAAGCCAGCCCCAGGUAGGGCCCUCACAGGGCUUCUGCAGAGCCGUCCUGAGGCUCUGACAUCUAUGAGUCGGCGGCCAGCAGAGGCGCAGGCCCCAGCACAGAGGAGCAGAGGCACCCGGAACAAGCUGUCCCUUAAUGCCACCCCAAGCGGGGCCAGCUCAGGAUGCGGUGUUUGGAGCAGUCCUGCAGCUCUGAGAUCCACGAGGUAGUGGUGGGAGUAGCGCCAGACUCCACUGCUUUGGCUCCUGCCCAGUUUGAUUCAGCAGUCAUGACGACCAGAAGACGCCAAAAGGUAGGGAGACUACAGAUACCGCUUGGCCUUAGGAACUCCUUUGGCAGUUGCUCACCCAUGGUUCCUCCCAGAGGCACCCACAGCCUAGGGCUCCUCCCUCCUGCCCUAGUUCACUUUCCUAGGCCCAGGCCUAGGCCCAAGCAGGAGGACUUGCUCUGGCUCGACUCCCCACCCCUUCUUCUUUCCCUGUUGCAUCCAGCCGGUUACUUUCCCUUGCCCUGUCCAAGUGCUCACUUCUGGGCCCUCUUCUUCUUUUCUUAGGCUGGUCAAAACUAAGAUUUCAGAUUACAAAAUGUAUGCUACAGAUUUCAUUACGGUAGAGGAAAUAUGCGACAGCUCUUGUAUUAAACUUAAGUAGCCAUAUUGGGACUCCCAAUUUCAUAUUUUUCGUUGUAGAGCAGAGCUCUCUCUCCUAAAGUAAUGGCUGAGGGUUAGAGGUACUCUUCUUGAUUCUAAUAAUAAAAAAUGAUUUCUCAUAGAGACAGGGUCUCACUAUGUUGCCCAGGCUGGUCUCAAACCCCUGGUCUCAAGUGAUUCACCCACAUUGGCCUCCCACUUUGUUGGGAUGACAGGCAAGAACCACCACACCUGGCCUUAGGAGGUGUUCCUGCUUUGUGUGUUUUGGCUGGUCUUGCUGCACAACUGUCAGUAAGAUGCUCCUGCAGCGUAGUUCCAAAGCUUUCUGCACAAAUUCAGUGGAUAUUAUGAUUUUUACAUGGAAUAGCCCCUUUAUGUAUUGCAGAGAAGCUGGACAAUUCACAUUUAGUAACAUAUGGCCUAGCAAAUUUCAUCUCGUGAUCAACACACCUGUUAAAAGGUGAUGCUUGUGGUCUAAAUAUGCAGAUUCCUCAUCAUCCUCAAGGAAAAGGGAACCACAGCAAGAAAACCUGGGAGGGAGUUUAGGAUUGUUCUGAGGCAGUGCAAGCCACUGAAAUUCACACACAAGGGGGUAGAAAAGAGAAUCCACAUGUUCUCAUCUCUCCAUGUUCUGGGUAUAAUUUGGUCCUCCUUAAAUUGCACCAUUUUUGGCGUUAGAGAAAACUGGAUUUGAAUCCCAGUUCCAUCACUCUUUAUGAUGUGAUGGUGAAUGUGUUUUUAACUCAUCUGAGCCUCAGUUUGCUCAUCUAUAGAAGAUGUGAUUGUUACGAGGCUUCCAUAAGGUAAGUGUGUAAAAACCAUGGCAAAAUGCUUGUAAUUUAAAAGAGAGGGUUAUUAUGAGGCUUCUAUAAGGUAAGUGUGUAAAAGUCUGGACAAAAUGUCUACUAUUUUGUAAGUGUUCAAUAUGUGGAUAAAGUGGAUUAUCUUUCUCUCCUUUGUAGACUACAAAUUUUUAGACCAAGUUUAUAAAAUUGGGGAUACUCCUAUUUCUUAGACAAUCAAACCAAUGAUCAGAAAGACUAGAUAAAUCACCAUAGUCACAAAGCAGCUCACAAUGCAUUUACUGGGUAAUUUCUAGUUAACAGUAGCAAUGAUGAUCACAUUGAAAAUCUUGUUUUGUGGUGGUUUUCUCUUACGUAAGCUUCUUGCUUUGUUGAAAGCAUAGAUUCUAAGCUGCUCUAUCAAAAUGAUUAUUAGAAAAAUGUGAUGAACUUUCUGUGUAAAUUUUGUAAACUUUCUUCUGUUAAUCUUGUUAAUUUGAUUGAACAUGUGUGUCAUUUUCAAAAAUGUAAAUCGAAUAUAUGUGAAUGGGAUAUAUAUGUAUAAAUAUGAAAUAUAACUUCAAUUAGAGAGUAGGCUUAGCUCAUGGCAAUGUUUUUUCUGAAAGCACCUGCAGAAAUCUCUCUUAUUUCUAGUUUGUUGAUGUUUCAGAGAUUAUGGAGAAAUGGCGGUUCUAUGAAUCUCAGACACUGCAUGAGGCAGAUUUGGUUUCAGUAAUUUUAGCAUCAUUCAUUGUAAGGUGAUGAUCCCUAGGAACUUCAUCACAGUGAGAAACCUGAAAGCUGCCAGCAGCCAGCAUGAAUGAAAGGUGGGGUGGGGCUGCUGGCAGGGCGGGGCCUUGCGAGCCAUAUGCCUGUGCUCUCAAGUUCCAGGAUUGUGGGGAUGCAUGCAGGGGAUUCUGGACCUGAUUGUUUCCUCUGAACCAGGAUGUGGUCUGGUUGGCUGGGCAACUGGCCUUCACUUGGUGGCCUUCAGUGGAUGCCCACAUUGGUUGCCUUCGGUUAGUGCACUCAGUUGGUACCCUCAGUUGUUUCUCUUCAGUUGGUGGUCUUCAAUUGUUGGGCAGUGGUGGAAGGAGGAUGAAUCCGUUUGUGCUCUCUCCUUCCCCAGUCACAGCUCCCAGGCUUGUUGCCCCCAGGCCCUCCUAAAAUAAACCAGAGAUGUUGGCAGGUUUUUCUUAGCAGACAAAUCAGCUCAGGAUAUGGGGGUGACGCGGGGUGUAGGGUGCAGGUUGCUAGCACAGUGCCGCCCCAUGGCCCAGGGCUGCCUGUGCCAGACAUGCCUUUGCAAGGAAGAGGCAAUAGUUGUUGAGCUCUGCAGACUUGGGGGCAAGCGAAGGUCCAAGCUGCCUGAGAAGAGCAGGGGUGCCCCAUGGGGACCACACUGAACUGUCACAAGUGCACCAAAGUCAGCCCCAGUCAGGGCUGGCAGAAGGGUUCUGCAGAGCCAGCCUGUGGCUCUGAUGUCUACCAGUGUGCAGACGGAGAAGGCACAGGCUGUGAUAUACAGGAGCAGAGGAGCCCUGAACACGCUGUCCCCCAAUACCAGCCACAAGCGGGGCUAUCUCAGGGUGCGGUGGGUGAAGCCGUCCUGCAGCUCUGCGAUCCACGAGGUGGAGGUGGCAGUAGUGCCAGACUCCACUGCUUUGGAGCCUGCCCAGUAGAAUUUGGGAUCCAGUGACGGACCUGACAGCAGUACAUUGGCAACCAGAAGAUACCCCAGGUAGGGUGGCAACGGAUACUGCUUAACUUGAGAAGAGCCUCAGUUUUCUCAUCUAUAUAAGAUGUGAUUGCUAUGAAGCUUCCAUAAGGUAAGUGUGUAAAAACCAUGGCAAAAUGCUUGUAACUUAAAACAGUGUUUCUAUGAGGCUUCUAUAAGGUGAGUGUGCAAAAAUCUGGACACAAUACCUAUAAUUGUUUAAGUGUUCAGUAUAUGGAGAAGGAGGAUUAUUUUUUCUCAUCUAACUUUUAGAGUGAGUUCAUAAGAUUGGUGAUACUCAUAUAUCUUAGACAAUCAAACCAAUAAUCAGAAAGAAUAAAUAGAUCACCAGAGUCACAAAGCAGUUCACAAUGCAUUCACUGGGUAAUUUUUAGUUGAAAGUAGAAAUGAUGAUCACAUUGAAAAUUUUGUAUUAUGUUGUGGUUUUCUCUUACAUAAUCCUCUUGGUGUCUUGGUGUUAUGAAACCACAGAUUCUAAAUUGCUCUAUCAAAGUGAUCAUUAGAAAAAUCUGAUGUACUUAGUGUUUACAUGUUAGAAAAUUUCUUGUUAGUCUUCUUAAUUUGAUUGAACAUGUGUGUUAUUUUCAAAAAUGUAAAUGGGACAUAUGUGGAUUUGUUAUAUAUGUGUAUAUAUGAAAUAUUACUUGAUAUUAUAGAGUAGGCUUCGUUCAUGGCAAAGUUUUUUUCUGAAAGCACCUGCAGAAAUCUCUCUUAUUUCUAGUUUGUUAAUAUUUCAGAGAUUAUGGGGGAAAGGGGGUUUUAUGAAUCCCAGACAUUGCAUGAAGCAGAUUUGGUUUCAGUAAUUUUAGCAUCAUUCAUUGUAAGGUGAUGAUCCCUAGGAAGUUCUUCACAGUGAGAAACCUGAAAGUUCCUAGCAUGCAGCAAUGAAUGAAAGGUGGGGCGGGGCUGCUGGCAGGGCGGGGCCUUGUGAGCCAUGUGCCUGUGCUCUCAAGUUCCAAGUCUGUAGGGAUGCAUGCAGGGGAUUCUGGACCUGAUUGUUUCCUCUGAACCAGGAUGCGGUCUGGUUGGCAGGGCAACUGGCCUUCACUUGGUGGCCUUCAGUGGGUGUUCUCAUUGGUUGCCUUCGGUUAGUGCCCUCAGUUGGUACCCUCAGUUGUUUCUCUUCAGGUGGUGGUCCUCAGUUGGUGGUCUUCAGUUGUUAGGCAGUGGUGGAAGGAGGAUGAAUCUGUGCUCUCUCCUGCCCCAGUCACAGCUCUCAGGCUUGUUGCAUCCAGGCCUUUCUAAAAUAAACUGGACAGGUUGGCAGGAUUUUUUAGCAGACAAGUCAGCUCAGAGUAUGGGGGUGAUAUGGGGUGCAUGCUGCUAGCGCAGUGCCGCCCCGUGGCCCAGGACUGCUUGUGCUAGCAAUACUUUUGCCAGCAAGAGACGAUAGGUGUUGAGCUCUGCACACUUGGGGGCAACCAAAGGCCCAAGCUGCCCAAGAAGAGCAGGAGUGCCCCAUGGGGACCACACUGAACUGUCGCAUGUGCACCAAAGCCAGCCCCAGUCAGGGCCGGCACAAGGGUUCUGCAGAGCCAGCCUGUGGCUCUGACGUCUAUGAGUGUGCAGACAGCGCAGACGCAGCCCGCAAUAUACAGGAGCAGAGUUGCCCCGAACACGCUGUCCCACAAUGCCAACCACAAAUGGGGCCAGCUAAGGGUGUGGUGGGAGAAGCCAUCCUGCAUCUCUGAGAUCCACAAAGUGGAGAUAGCAGUAGCACCAACUCCACUGCUUUGGAGGCUGCCCAGUCGAAUUUGGGAGCCAGCGAGGGACCUGACAGCAGCACAUUGUACACCAGAAGACACCCAAAGGGAGAGGAGCGGAAGACCUUCUGGUGUGGGCUGGGCAGCAAUUCACUUGAAGGAGAAACAGCCCCGGUGUGGAGAGGCAGCCAUCCUUGGCGGGAUCCUUUCUAAGGAGCUGAGAAAUCAACGUAGAGCUUCCUCUAUCUGAUUCUGUAACAACUGCAGACCUUCCAUGAGUCAAGCUUUGUGUCAAAAAGACAAAUUAAAAGGACCUAUAAAUGGCACCACCCAGCCCAAUGGACAGAUGCCCCAGGCUGCAGAUUCUGUCAGUGCUGUUCUCGAAGAGGCCCAGGCACAUGCUGAAACAUGGAAGGAUAAGAAGCCAGCCCUCGGGAACCACCAGGAGCCAGGAGCACCCCCGGCCCCCCAAGGCCCCAAGUCCAGCCUGCCCCACCCCCUCCGGUGCAGAGGUCCUGGGACACCAGUGGCAGCCCCGCCACACCCCCCAAGGCCAAGGGCACAGGCAGCGGGGUCUUCCCCGCCCCGCCCGACUACUUCCUGCCGCCACAGCCACCAAUGCCGCCCCUGGAGUACCCAGAGCUCCCGCUGCCGUCCCCGGACUUCAUGGAGACCCCCCUGGACUUCGUGCUCCCUCCCCUCACUGUCGCCAAGAGGCCUCCUAUGCCCCACCCCCCCAACAGGCACGAAGCAUCAAUGUUCACAAGCAGCAAAUGAAUAAAAGUUAAACGUUCU
rnacentral:lncRNA from 1 species